CGAACGCUGGCGGCAGGCCUAAUACAUGCAAGUCGAACGGCUCUUCGGAGCAGUGGCGGACGGGUGAGUAACGCGUGGGAAUGUGCCCUUAGGUACGGAGCAACACAGGGAAACUUGUGCUAAUACCGUAUGUGCCCUUCGGGGGAAAGAUUUAUCGCCUUUGGAGCAGCCCGCGUUGGAUUAGGUAGUUGGUGAGGUAAAGGCUCACCAAGCCGACGAUCCAUAGCUGGUCUGAGAGGAUGACCAGCCACACUGGGACUGAGACACGGCCCAGACUCCUACGGGAGGCAGCAGUAGGGAAUCUUGCGCAAUGGGCGAAAGCCUGACGCAGCCAUGCCGCGUGUAUGAUGAAGGUCUUUGGAUUGUAAAGUACUUUCACCGGGGAAGAUAAUGACGGUACCCGGAGAAGAAGCCCCGGCUAACUUCGUGCCAGCCGCCGCAGUAAAAC
rnacentral:rRNA from 1 species